UGGGGCGGGGGCGAAGGGGAGGCCAGGACAGAGCCAGGAGCCUCCGGAGAGUGCUUUAGCUGCCUGGUGCCUUGUCAUUAAAACGAAUGCCGGACGGCGCAGGAAGCAGACCUUGGGAAGACGUCCAUGUGGUCGCCUUGGUCUAGGGGUUUCUCCCUGAACCCCUGGGUUUUGGAAGGAGUUUUCCGCCCUCGCGAGCGUUUUUCAUAUAAAACGGGGCCAUUGGAUCGUGGCAGGGUACUGCAGUCGGUUUUGGAGUGCUGGUCACCAGGCACAGCCACUAAGAAUUGAUGAAGAGAGAAACUGUGUCCGAAGCAAUUGAGCAGAGCGCUCUCUGCAUGGGGUCUUCCCAGCCCACUGGUAACGGUUGAAUCAAGAUGGAGCGAGUUUGGAGAUGUACAUCAAAGCUUCUCCUGCUUCACGUGUCUCCAAAGCGUUCCUUGGCUGCCAGGGAAGAAGAGCAUCACACUCAUGGUGAACACUGAUAAUUAAAGUCAACAUCUCUGCACACUGAGUCAAUUUAUUGAACACCUUUUUUAUUGCUAGGAACCUCCAGUACUGUGCUUCUCUGUUGGUCUUGACCUGACUAUUUCCCAAGUGAUGCAGGAGGGUCUUUCAACCUCAAUGACUAGAAGCAGCAAAAACAUCUGAUCUCCCUUCGACAAAGACAAACAGCAGACCAGAAGGAAAAUUGAGAGCAUUUUAUUUUCAUUAAAACAUAUCGGAUAUUAA
rnacentral:lncRNA from 1 species